rnacentral:rRNA from 1 species
CCUACGGGGGGCAGCAGUGGGGAAUAUUGGACAAUGGGGGCAACCCUGAUCCAGCCAUGCCGCGUGUGUGAAGAAGGCCCUCGGGUUGUAAAGCACUUUCAGUGAGGAAGAACGCCUGGUGGUUAAUACCCAUCAGGAAAGACAUCACUCACAGAAGAAGCACCGGCUAACUCCGUGCCAGCAGCCGCGGUAAUACGGAGGGUGCGAGCGUUAAUCGGAAUUACUGGGCGUAAAGCGCGCGUAGGUGGCUUGAUAAGCCGGUUGUGAAAGCCCCGGGCUCAACAUGGGAACGGCAUCCGGAACUGUCAAGCUAGAGUGCAGGAGAGGAAGGUAGAAUUCCCGGUGUAGCGGUGAAAUGCGUAGAGAUCGGGAGGAAUACCAGUGGCGAAGGCGGCCUUCUGGACUGACACUGACACUGAGGUGCGAAAGCGUGGGUAGCAAACAGGAUUAGAUACCCUGGUAGUC